GUAACCAAGGGUAUUUCCGUAAUUUCGAUUUUCAUACAAUUCCAUUAACCACGCAUUUCUUAUCAACACGUUCCUUCUCUCGCUACCCUCCACAGCAGGUUACGGCACCACCGACCAGGUUAGGGUAUCGCUGUUCUGAUCUAUCUGUUUCGUAGUUGUUUCAACCUUAGGUGUAUUUUAUAGAUAUGCUUCGAAUUUCUUCACAGAAUCUAAAUAUAAGCCAUCUUUGAUUACGCUUUAGUAAAAUUGUAGACCUAAAGAUAUUUUUCGAUUCAUUUGUUUUAAAAUCCAGUGUUAUUUUUAUUUAAUUUUUUCACAGUUUUUUUAAGUAUUUGAUAAGUUCGGUGUUGGGGAGAGGUUUGAUCGGAACGAAUUGGAGUUAUGGGUGGGGCAUCGUUGCCACAAGGGUUUCGAUUUUUGGUAAGGCUGUUGGGGAGAGGUUUUUGAUGAAAAUUCUUGCAAAGUUGCAACCGUUUCGAAAUUUUUGAAAGGAGAUCGGUUUUUGGUAAGGCUGCAUAAGUUUAAUCAUGAAAUUAGGCUACACGGUAAGGUGAUGGUCCUCCCUUGGAGGAUGGUCCGUCAUAUAGGAUGGACAUGAGGAUGGGGCAAAGAGGAUGGAUGUAUGGAAAUGGGAGGAUGGACCUAAAAUGCAUAUGUAUAUAUUGUAUGUAUAGUUGUGUGAGAGAGGGGGAGGAGUCAUUUUUGUCAUCUAGUGGAUCAUCCUCAACGUCCUAAACUCGACGCCAAGGACGACGACCGGGGGGGGGGGGGGUAGGCACGGUGUUUGGUUCGUCGCCGGUGCUUCCCCAUACCGUCUAGCCUUAGGGCCCAUAAAACAAAUACUUGGACGCGAUGCGAAGAUUUCAGGAAGCAAUGGGUUUGAACCGAUGAUCUGUCAAAAAAAAGAAGAUUGCUUGCUUACCUGUGCAAGAGAUCUUCCCCAUUUGGCUCAUCUCUUCUCGGAGCAAAUUGUGGCGGUCAAAGUCAAAGGUGUGUUUUAGGCCAUUGACUUGAAAAGGUAACAAAUACAUGCAACCAUCCUUUAACAACUGUUGGAGAAAAGAAACAGGAUAAAGGAUAUCCUUGAAUCACACUUGAAGUUCGCGCUCACAGAUCUUUGAAACCACACAUGCACUCAUAGUCUCAUAGUCAGUUUACAUUUACUUAGCAUUAAUUCACCUCUAUUCCUAACUCAAAAACAGAUAAAACAUAUAUAAAAUAUAUAACUGUUUGUUUGUAAAAAAUGGGUGAUGUCCACAAAAUGUCUCAUAUUUCGAUAAACAGUACAAUUGGAAAGCGUCAGCUGAAAGUAGCUCGUGUGUAAUUAAAGAAGAAACUGACCCAUAAAAGCAGCUUCGUCGUGCGACAUAUUACACUUUAUUUGAAGGCCACCAGUUGUUGGGCGCAGCCACGUGCCAGCUCAGUGAGGGAGGGGCACAGAGGUGCGAGGGUGGGCUGCGGCUUGGAUCUUUUAGUGAUUAACUAAGUUAUGUUUAGAGCAAAGUGGAGGUUAUGAACAAGGAGGUGCAAUUGGCAAUGUACUAUCCUCUCUUUCUGGCAAGAUAUGUAAACAACCAAGUCUUUUUCCUUUUGUGUUAAACAGGGUCAACCCCUUAACCUCACUUUUGUCUCGAGUGAGUUAUUCGACAAAAAAAACAAUAUAAAUAUGUAGAAACAAAUUGAUUUUAAUUUUCAUUAAGAACAUUCGCCCGCCGCAACGCGGCGGGAUACAUCCUAGUUAUAUUCAAAACAAAUGAACUACUUA
rnacentral:lncRNA from 1 species